GGCACCCUACGGGAGGCAGCAGUGAGGAAUAUUGGUCAAUGGGCGGGAGCCUGAACCAGCCAAGUCGCGUGAGGGAAGACGGUCCUAUGGAUUGUAAACCUCUUUAGGCGGGGAGCAAUGCCGGGCACGUAUGCCCGGAGGGAGAGUACCCGCAGAAUAAGCAUCGGCUAACUCCGUGCCAGCAGCCGCGGUAAUACGGAGGAUGCGAGCGUUAUCCGGAUUUAUUGGGUUUAAAGGGGGCGUAGGCGGAAUGCCAAGUCAGCGGUAAAAUCGCGGGGCUCAACCUCGCUCCGCCGUUGAAACUG
rnacentral:rRNA from 1 species